rnacentral:rRNA from 1 species
UACGUAGGGGGCAAGCGUUGUCCGGAAUCAUUGGGCGUAAAGCGCGUGUAGGCGGCCCGGUAAGUCCGCUGUGAAAGUCGGGGGCUCAACCCUCGAAUGCCGGUGGAUACUGUCGGGCUAGAGUGCGGGAGAGGCGAGUGGAAUUCCAGGUGUAGCGGUGAAAUGCGUAGAUAUCGGGAGGAACACCGAUGGCGAAGGCAGGUCUCUGGGCUGACACUGACGCUCAUGCACGAAAGCGUGGGGAGCAAACAGG